UGAGUUUGAUCAUGGCUCAGGAUGAACGCUAGCGGCAGGCUUAACACAUGCAAGUCGAGGGGCAGCAUGUCCAGCAAUGGAUGAUGGCGACCGGCGUAAGGGUGCGUAACGCGUGAGCAACAUGCCCUAUACAGGAGGAUACUCCGGGGAAACCCGGUCUAAUACUCCAUAGUAUUAUUGAGAGGCAUCUCUUAAUAAUUAAAGCUUCGGUGGUAUAGGAUUGGCUCGCGUGACAUUAGCCAGAUGGUGAGGUAACGGCUCACCAUAGCAACGAUGUCUAGGGGUUUUGAGAGGAAGGCCCCCCACACUGGGACUGAGACACGGCCCAGACUCCUACGGGAGGCAGCAGUGAGGAAUAUUGGACAAUGGAUGGAAAUCUGAUCCAGUCAUGCCGCGUGCAGGAAGACUGCCUUAUGGGUUGUAAACUGCUUUUAUACGGGAGCAAUAAGGGUUACGUGUAGCCUGAUGAGAGUACUGUAUGAAUAAGGAUCGGCUAACUCCGUGCCAGCAGCCGCGGUAAUACGGAGGAUCCGAGCGUUAUCCGGAAUUAUUGGGUUUAAAGGGUGCGUAGGCGGCUAUUUAAGUCAGCGGUGAAAUUUUGCAGCUUAACUGUAACAGUGCCGUUGAAACUGUUUAGCUAGGAUUUGGUUGCAGUGUGCGGAAUGUGUGGUGUAGCGGUGAAAUGCUUAGAUAUCACACAGAACACCAAUUGCGAAGGCAGCACACUAAGUCAAUAUUGACGCUGAGGA
rnacentral:rRNA from 1 species